rnacentral:rRNA from 1 species
GACGAACCGUACGAGCGUUAUUCGGAAUUACUGGGCUUAAAGGGUGCGUAGGCGGGUCUUUAAGUCAGGGGUGAAAUCCUGGAGCUCAACUCCAGAACUGCCUUUGAUACUGAAGAUCUUGAGUUCGGGAGAGGUGAGUGGAACUGCGAGUGUAGAGGUGAAAUUCGUAGAUAUUCGCAAGAACACCAGUGGCGAAGGCGGCUCACUGGCCCGAUACUGACGCUGAGGCACGAAAGCGUGGGGAGCAAACAGG